rnacentral:rRNA from 1 species
AUUGAACGCUGGCGGCAGGCCUAACACAUGCAAGUCGAGCGAGCGGCGGACGGGUGAGUAAUGUAUGGGGACUGCCCGAUAGAGGGGGCUAACUACUGGAAACGGUAGCUAAUACCGCAUACUAUCGGAUAACCCAUAUGGGAUUAGCUAGUAGGUGAGGUAAUGGCUCACCUAGGCGACGAUCCCUAGCUGGUCUGAGAGGAUGAUCAGCCACACUGUGACUGAGACACGGCCCAGACUCCUACGGAGGCAGCAGUGGGGAAUAUUGGACAAUGGGGGAAACCCUGAUGCAGCCAUGCCGCGUGUAUGAAGAAGGCCUUCGGGUUGUAAAGUACUUUCGGCAGGGAGGCGUUAUCGGCAGAAGAAGCACCGGCUAACUCCGUGCCAGCAGCCGCGGUAAUAC